AAAGGAAUAGUGUGCACCAUGUGUCAUGCUUCGUUAUCAUGUUAUGAGGCAACAUACGUAUGUCACGUCAUGUAACAGAAUCCAAUGGACAUUGACAUUGUUUGACCUUUUCUUUGUAGACCAAACAUUCAACACAGACAAAACUAUUCCAUUUAUUAAUCCUAUUA